rnacentral:tRNA from 1 species
GAAGGUAUAGCUCAGUGGUAGAGAGCAUGCUUAGCAUGCAUGAGGUCCUGGGUUCGAUCCCCAGUACCUUCU